AAACGUCAGUCAUCCUCUCCACUGCCGUCUCACAUUCUUCUCUGGAUAGUUCCCCACCACUGCCUCACAAUCUCCUCCGUUCCCCAUUCUCUCCACCACAACCAGCGCUCCCUGGUCAGGCCGCCCCCUCCCCUUCGUCACCACCGCCGGCGCUCCCUGGUCAGGCUGCCCUCCCCUUCGUCACCAGCGUCGCCGCUCCCUAGCAGGCCGCCCCUCCCCUUCGAAUCAGACCGCAAAAGUGGCCGGGGAGAUCCUCGAGCUCGGCAUGCUCGCGCCAGUGGUAGGCGUCGUUGGAUGCGGACGCGGAGGCUCGGGACUUGCCCGCCCUACUCUACCCUGUUCCUUCCAAUCCGGCCCCGAAGUGCUCGAGGAGGCGCUCGAGGUCGGCAUGCUCACCGGCGACGCUGGGUCCCUCCAUUCUCCUGGUUCCCUCACCGUCGCCAACAUGAGCCUCUCCACCCUCUCUCGCGCGAUCGUCCAGGUCUAGCCCCUUCUGGUUGUGAGUGGAUCCAAGAGUUCACAUGAUGCAGUAUCUUUUUGAAAGAUGAUACAUUAUCUUCAUAAAAGAAAGGAAGUUGGAGAAGUUAUUACUGAAGAGGAAUUCAGUGGUAUGUGCUUCUCAAGAGCUAAACUGGAACAAGAAGUGCAUGACUCAUGCCUACACUAACUAAUCAGACUUCCCGAAGGAGAAGAAGGAGGUGCGGAAAGAGGAUGGGAGCAACAAAUCUGAAUCAAAGAGGGUGAGAAUUACUUAUCGAUGACUCGGGCAUCAACUCUUGAUUUUCGGCGGAAGACGCAGGGUCAGAACAACUGGUCUGGGCCGUCGCGCCCAGUAAAUGCCAUCAAAAAUAAAUUCCCUACCUACAAGAAUGGUACGAAUGGGAUAGUCAUCAAAUUUGCUGAUGAGCCAGAAACACCAUGACUUAAGGAGUCUGUUGCCAAAGAGACAGCAGAUCUGCUUGAUCGGCGUCAGCGUCUUUCAGUCCGCGAGCUCGCAAUGAAAUUUGAGAAGGGCCUCAGUACUGCCACAUUAUUAUCUAAUGAGGUUAAAUGUAAACAAGUGGCUUUAUUGGAGCGAGACAUCCUUCCGAAGAAUCUAAAGAGUGUAUUGGAGUCACUGAGAGGUCAAGUAGCUGGCAAAUAUAAGGAUGAAAUUGAGGAAUCGGUAUCUAUGGUGGAUAUUUUAGCAGUUCAGCUGUCCAAAACAGAAAAUGAGUUGCUUCAGCAGAAAACCGAGGUCACGAGAAUAGCGACUUCACUAAAACUGGCUUCUGAAGAUGCUAGGAGAAUUGUUGACGAAGAACGAACUAAUGCAUGCAUGGAGAUUGAAAAUGCUAGAGCUGUUGUACAAAGAGUUCAAAAAGUACUUAAAGAGAAAGAGAACAGUUCACAAAGAAUUAGAAAGCAGUUGCAGCCCACCUAAUAGGACUGCUUGAUUCCGUCGAGUAUGGAAAAAGCGAAAGCCAGUGUCGCAUAAGUUUGUGAAGGUUUCAGUGGUUUCCAUCGACAUGAUUAGACGCAAAGUGCUCUCAGUAGUUCCAUAUAUUGAAGAGAACGAUAUCCAUGGAAAAGACUCCCAGAUGGUCUUGGGAGCGUCCAGUUAUCUCCAGUCCUUUCUUCCCUCCGAACUUCCGAAGUUCAUUGAUCCCGCCUGCAAGCAUGUCUUGGAUUCUCCUACGGCUGCGGCUGCUUCUCGUCCUACUGCUUCAUCACAAGUGAACAUCAAAACUGAAGAAAUAACAGAUGAUUGUCCUGCAUUUAAUACUAGGAGUAGGAAAAAAAGAGUUAUCUGAUGUAAUGGUUAAUUAGUACUACUGCACUAGUAUUAUCAUGGCUUUAGUGGACAUGUCUAUGAUUGUGAUUUGCAGUGGUGUAUUUUGGUUGGUAGUAAGUGCCAAGACGUCUUGGUAUGUGGUAACUGGCAGGAUAUAUGAGAUACUAUACCUUAAGCUAUGCUAUUGAAAUGUGUGUUCAAUGAUCUUGUUACUUGA